rfam:Tupaia chinensis contig60653, whole genome shotgun sequence.
GCUUGCUUAGGCAAAACAUACACUAAAAUUGGAACAAUACAAAGAUUAGCAUGGCCAAUGCAGAAAGAUGAAAUGCAAAUUUGUGAAGAUCUCCAUAUUUAA